GCCCGGAUGGUGGAAUCGAUAGAUACGUCCCGAUUUAAGAUCGGGAUAACCAUUGGUUGUGCGGGUUCAAGUCCCGCUCCGGGUACCA
rnacentral:tRNA from 1 species